AGAAAGGAAUGAGGGGAGGAGGGAAGGAAUGAACGAAGGAAGGGAGCAAGGGAGGGAAACCCUGAUUCUAAGUGUCAGGCACAACCCUAGAAGCACAUAGCCAUCAUAUUCAAGUCUUCAUCACCAUCAGCUGUAACCCAGUGAGUUAUCAAAGCUUAUUUCUAUGUUACAGAGAAGGAAAGAGGCUGGCAGAUCCAGAGUGGGAGCUUACAACCACAUCCUUGGGUAGGCUAGGUGGCUGGGUGGUGUAAGGAUUGGGAGUUUCCCCUGACCCACCAGUUUUGCUGAUGCCGAAAGCCCUCAAGCAUGGCACAAAGGCCUUCCCUUGACAAGCAGUGAGAAAGAUGGAAAGGUAAUUCCUCCUGGGACCAUCCUUGGUCCUGUCAAGGGGUAGAAUGACCACAGACCUUGUGCUGGGGAUAGGCCUUGCUCCGGGGGAUACUUGGUCCCUGAGGAUAUGGGUUCUCUCUUCUUCCCAACUGGGGCCCAGGAGUCCUGGCAGGAGCAAGAGAAGGGCAUCAGCUGCUUUAGGAGCCAAUAGGCAGGGCCUGAGAGGCUGGGGGAAAUGGUUGGGAAAAGGAAAAAGUGGUUUCUGUCUGAGGGAAGUUUCCAUCUAGCGGGGAAAGUGUGGUCCUUUAGGGGCUCCCAAUCCAAUCUGACAAGGGAGGCAGGAGCUCUGAACACAAGGAGUCCAAGAAGGAUAAAAGAAAGAAAGAAAGCACAGUCCAUGCAUUCCAGGGGCUCAGUGUCUGGAGAGAGAAAGACCUGUUUCUUCAACACUGGCCGUAGACUGCCCCACCCCUGACCAAGCAUCUCAGGAAUCAAAGCCACCAACCCCGCCCUGGACUGUGUCAAGAGCUGGGGUGAGACAGACAGCCCAGCUCUCUCCUAUGUGCCUGCCUGUCCUCCGAGCAUCCUCCUGCAGCCCUUUCUGUCAGCUGCCCGCUCUGUGGAGGCCUGCAGCUUUGGCCAGGCGCAGCGGCUCUGCUGGGAGGCUGGUUUGCACUCAGGGCUGCUCUGAUCGGGCCCACCUUUCCUUCCCCAGCAGGAGCCUUGGGAGCUUGGGAGACAUUCCAGGACUGGCUCUGACACGAAUUUGCUGUUCAGUGCGCCAGGCGAUCAGAGCUGACUCCUCUCCCUUUUCCCUUGGAGGUGUUGAUAGUAACAGCAGAGAGGAGCUGCCAAGUUGGCAGGAGAACAGAGCGACUGUGCACUGCGGAUUGCGGUGGGGGUGGGGGUGCAGCAAGCUGGCGGAGGGCUGGGCCGGAGCCACAGUUUGUUUACCCUGAGAUGGAAAGGGUCCCUGCAGUCUGGCAGCCAGCAUCUUGCCCAGGAGGGGAGAUUAGAGAGGAAGGCGGAGGCCCCGGGGGAGCCCUAGGGCAGUGGUGUGGGGUGAGGCAUCUGGGAGGUUCCCAGGUCUGGGUGCUGCCAGAGUCGGUGGGAGGGGCCUUCUGGCUGGGCCUGAAGCCACCAGGCAGCCUGGCCCCGAGAGGCAUGCCGGGCCUCAGAGGCAGGACAGAGAUCCACCUUUGUUCCUGCUGUCCAUGAAGCAGCUUUGGAGUUUCCAAACAGGAAUGGACCUGGGGUGGGGAGCAGGCGAGUUCUGUAGCUUCUUCCUCCACAGAGGACCUUAGAAGGCACCCAUGCUGUCAAUCAAAUAGACCUGGGACCUUGAGCAAGUCAUUCAACUUCUUUGAGCCUCAGAGACGAAUAUCUACUUCAGAGCUUUGUGUGAGGAUUCAACAAAGUAGUAACAGCAAAAACUUAUCUAUUGCUUACUACAAGGCAGACACUCUUCUAAGAGCUUUACAUACGUGAAGGCACUUAAUCUUCAAACGACUUUAUCAGGAGGUUCCAGGGAAUGAAUCCGUUGCCACUUUCUGGGCAGCCAGAGCUACCUCCUAUCAGCUGUGAGACAGCAAACCAGAGCCAGGAGCCUGGAUUACCGACUGCUUCCCAGAAAUGCAUACUCUGUCAGAUCCCAAGGGGCCCAUUUACAAUUGAUGACAAGAAGUCGGAGGGCAUGGCUUGCCAAGUGAUGCCACGUCCGCACCUGGGAUCCAAACCGGCGAACCCCGGGGCGCCAAAGCAGAUUGUGCACACUUAACCGCUGUGCCACCAGGCCGGCCCCUGGACUGGCCACCUUUUGAGUGCUCAACAGCCGUAUGUGUUUAGUGGCUACCGUGUUGGAUUGUGUAGAUGAAGAGACUGCAUUUGAGAGGAACAAGAAUGGCAAAGCUGUUGCAGUUGACCUGGAAGAGUACAGCGGCCUGGGAAUAGUGACAAAAGGACAGAUUUCAGAGAUGUGAUUCCCAGGUUGUCAU
ensembl:lncRNA